CUCUCUCUCUCUCUCACUCUCCGGUCGAUCAACCGCCACCACAGCGAUUACCAAUACCGUCGCUAAUCCUACUGCUUUAAGAGAUCAAGCACGUUGGGAUUUAUCAGAAGUCGUGUUCAGAUAUGCAACGAUAAACGAUUGAUACCAACUUCCAACGUGCUUUGAAUACCUUUCCUUUCCUUCGCUGAAUCUUCGACUAUAUUUGCUUCCUUCGUCGAAAAUAAAGUUCCACUUUGAAGCUUUGUCAUUUUGAAAUUCGUAGCAUCGAACCGUUGAUAAAAAUCUAAUAAUUCGAAAAUUGGAGCGAGAUUGAAUUGAAUGAUUUGACACAUUGAUUUAUGGUGAACGGUAUCAGAUACCUUAGUCUAGCCUACUGAGAAUGUUCCGGUAUUCUUGGAGCCAAUACGUUUGCGAAACGCGAGCCGAUAACGAAUUAGAAUCGGCACCUUUAUUAUCCUCGUCUUGAUCCGAGACACAUCGUAGAAAAAACAUUGAGACGUUGGCGAUCAUACGAAAUAAGGAAACGAAGAAUUGUCGCAAAGAUCGAGAGAUAGAUCGUUUGAUAAAAUAAAAAUAGAUUCGUUAUGAGUCAAUUUUAUUUCAUCAAAUUUGAUUUUUAUAAUUAAUCAUUUACAAUCUGAGUUAUUCUCGCUGUUUCGUUUCUGCCAAUCCGUGCUGAAUCAACCACGUUCGGUCAGUAUCAAGUAAUUAGCCGUUAUUUCAAUAUUUUAACGUUGAACUAAUAGGAGAAAAUUACCUAUAUCGGAGCAUUUUUGCUGUAUUUCACCUAUAUCUUUAUCACGUAUUCAAUGGAAACAAGAAGUUCUGUAACAUAUUCUGCAUUCGAUGUACUUUCAUCAGA